rnacentral:lncRNA from 1 species
UUCCCCACCCCUACCCAGCUGUGUGAGGACCCCUGCCACGUUCUAGCACAGCCCCUCUAUGGGAGCUGCGGGGCUGGCCUCACUCACUCUUCCUUGCUUCCCUGCAGCAGAGGGGACGUGGCUGGUGGCUGGAGAAGCUGGAUUUGCCCUUUGAUGGUGGCCCUCUUGAUCCCCGGCUUGCUGAAGUCAAAGCUGGGGUGGAGCUUUCAUCAUGUGUUCCAAACUGGGCAGGUCCAUCCUGCUGGAGGAGGCCAUGGCCAGGGAAGAUGCAAAGGCUGUGCUCUGAGGCCUGGAUGAGCUUGUUUGCCCAGAAGAGGUGCUUGGAGGUCUGCGCACUGAUGGCAGUUUGAAUUCAGACUCCACGGUCUGAAGGGCCGCAUUUAGGUUUCGGGCGGGCGGACGGGGGACGGCCCGAGUGAGGCGUCCUCCGAAGGCUGCGGGCCCGAAGCCAGAACUCCUUCCUCUCCGAAGACCUCGGGGGUGGGGCUCGCGCUUCCGCAGCGGGCCUAGAGCGAGAGGCAGGCGGCAGGUCAAGAGACUGCUCUCCUCCCCAAGCUAGGGGAACCUUCUGGGACUCCAUCAACUGACAAUGAGGGGAUAAUGGUCCCUCACUGCCCCAUCAGGAAAGGCUCAUGGGUGAUUGGGACCUCAAGUUCUGGGACCAGGCGCCUUCCUCCCUCCCACUGUGCCAGAGGAGGGGAGACAAAAUCCCUCAAUGGCUGUCUAGCUCCAGGCAGAUCAGCUGCCACGGGGACUGCUGAGCAGGUGUUCCAGCUGGAGCUUCGAGCCUCGGCCUGGCUGCUCCAGGAGUGUACGCCUGAGCUCAGGGUGUCCCGCGAGCUUUGAGAGGCCUUUGAUGGGUUCUGAAACAACAGGAUUGGGGAGAGGCUGUCGAUGCUGAGGCACGAGAGAAUUUGCUCCUGCUCCUCCAGAGAAAAUGGCUGGGACAGGCUGUUGAGGAAUAAUUCUGCAGGGAAAAGUGGAAGAUGGCUGUGAAAGACUGGGAGGAGGCUGGCUGUGUUUUCAGGGGUUCUUCCUGCACAGUCGGUAGAAGCUGAGCUGCUGGGGAAGGGGCUGGAAGAAAGCCCACACCGCAGGUGCUGCAGUUCCUGCUCCGGGACGGUUGCUUUCCGCUCUGGUGAGCUGGGGUUUCUGGCAGGGGCUGGCUCCAGGGAGGACAGAGGUAAGGGUUCCCACAUCCCAGACUCCUCCUUGCUCAAAGUCAAGGGAGGAGACUUGUUUGGCUCUGGGGGCUCUGGUGGGAGAGGAGGCUGGAGCUUAGGGGCUCUGCCUGUUGUCUCCUCAGCUGGCCGGGGCCCUGGGGCCCUUGGCGAAAGCUCUCUCGGCUGGGCAUGGAGGGUCUGGUGGUAAUUGGCUUGAUUUGGCGGUGGAUGUCUUGGUUCUUUAUAUUCUCCCCUCCAAGGGCUCUUCAGACCUCCCACUAGAAAACAGAGAGUACAAUGGUGAGGGGAAGCGUGCUGUGCACAGACAGCGGUCCAGGCAGGAGCGGCCUCUCCUGAGUGCAGAAGGGCUAGAGGUAUCAGUAGCAAAUUCAAAAACUACAGAAUCAGCUCCAGAGGACUUUGUUAACAAGAAAGAGAAGAUUGAAAACAGCCCUGGGGCUACACCAACUCAAGAGCUCCCAGGCAAAGUGGCAUCCUGGACCCACCAUCUCUCCUACCCCAUCCUCAGUCGGUACUUCCCCAGGCACCGUUUGUUCUGGCAUGGGGCUAGUUCAGCCCUGGGACCACCCUCAUCCUUAUAACUACCAGCUGUCUUUGGUGAGGUGC